GCCGGGUUUUGAUAAUAUCAGGACUUCGGAGAGCGGAGAGAAGGGUGAGAGCUGGACGCGACGUUUUGCUGGUUGGAGUGCUUCUGAACCCCGCCCAUGCCUUUCGCAAGAAAGGAAGGGAUUUUUCAAUUCAUCGGCCUCAGAUUGGUAGGACUACCCGCUGAACUUAAGCAUAUCAAUAAGCGGAGGAAAAGAAACUAACAAGGAUUCCCCUAGUAACGGCGAGUGAAGAGGGAAGAGCCCAAGAUUGAAAGCUGGCGUCUUCGGCGUCCGCAUUGUAAUCUCAAGAAGUGUUUUCCGCUUCGGACCAUGCCUAAGUCCCUUGGAAAAGGGCAUCAUAGAGGGUGAUAAUCCCGUACAUGGCAUGGAGCGCCCGAAGCUUUGUGAUACGCUUUCUAAGAGUCGAGUUGUUUGGGAAUGCAGCUCAAAAUGGGUGGUAAAUGCCAUCUAAGGCUAAAUAUUGGGGAGAGACCGAUAGCGAACAAGUACAGUGAUGGAAAGAUGAAAAGAACUUUGAAAAGAGAGUUAAACAGUACGUGAAAUUGCCAAAAGGGAAGGGUAGGAGGUCAGAGAUGCGGCCUGGGAUUCAGCCUUGCUUUUGCUUGGUGUUUUUCCCAGAUUGCAGGCCAACGUCGGUUUUGGGCACUGGAGAAGGGUAGGAGGAACGUGGCACCUCUCGGGGUGUGUUAUAGCCUCCUACUGGAUACAGCGACCGAGACCGAGGACAGCAGCGUACUCGCAAGAGCGGGCCUUC
rnacentral:rRNA from 1 species